GUGCGAGUGCGCCCUUCUCGGGUCCCCUAGGUCGCGGGGCAGCCGGGGCGGAAGGGGCUUGUUCAUUAUUUUGAGAGUUUGUUGUGAACGUCAUAACCUUUCGUCCUUAAAUAUUGCCGAUACUUGACCUACGCAAGAGACAAUGUCAUGUGAUUCAGCCUAAUAUCUCAGUAUUUUGUAGCAGCAAUGGUGUGCCCGUGCAGGAGGGGACCCCUUAACUACAGUACUUGACAUGACCUGGGUAAAGGGCAUAUUCAGCAGGAGGAUGCAGCAUUCAAGGUUCUAUCUUGGAAGCAGAGACUGUGCCCUCACCAGAUGCUGAACCUGCUGAGCACCCUGAUCUUCCACUUCACCUUCAUCAGAACUACUGGGGCUGUGGCUGAGAUGUCACAUGGCAGAUAGGAUCACAAAUUUCUGUUGUAUCUGGAUGGAGAUCAGCAGGAGGAUCUAUGGGUGAGAAGAAGCACAGUUACAGAUGGAUUCUAGAGCCUGCUUGCUGACACAGGCUUGCAACUGCGGACUUUAUAAGCUUAGUUUUUAAUCUGCUAUCAGCUAGCAUAAUACCAUAAAUGCAUAAGAAACUAAGUAUUCAGUCUUACGAGAAAUGCUAUCUUGACCUGACCCUUUCUCCAAAUAAAUUGACAAAAUAUCUCAUCGUCUAGGAUGCCAGACAGAAAUACCAGUUGCAAUGUUUUGUUGCAUAAAGUUUAUCCUAAUUUAAAUUAGUGGCAUAUAAAGUCAUCAUCUUGCUUGAACAAACAUCUUAUUAAAUUGAGCAUGUCUUUUAUCCCAUGAAAUGAAAUUAAUUUUGAGAUAGUUAUUUUUCAGUUGGAAAUUUAUUGAGUUGAUAGAAAACAAGUUAUAUAGUCUUCCAAAGAAUAUGUUACAUCCAUUUGCAUUUUGUUUUUCUUCAGCAAUGUUUGGUUUUUAGAAAAUCUUACAAGUUAAAUAUACUAAUGUAGAAAUUGAAAGAAAAUAAUCAGAGAUAGAGCAAUAAAUUUGCAAAUAAAGAUUAUUCUUAAAACAAA
rnacentral:lncRNA from 1 species